rnacentral:rRNA from 1 species
CCUACGGGGGGCAGCAGUAGGGAAUUUUCCACAAUGGGCGAAAGCCUGAUGGAGCAACGCCGCGUGCAGGAUGAAUGCCUUCGGGUUGUAAACUGCUUUUAUAUGUGACGAUUAUGACGGUAGCAUAUGAAUAAGGAUCGGCUAACUCCGUGCCAGCAGCCGCGGUCAUACGGAGGAUCCAAGCGUUAUCCGGAAUUACUGGGCGUAAAGAGUUGCGUAGGUGGCAUAGUAAGCGAGUAGUGAAAGCGUGUGGCUCAACCAUACUCACAUUAUUCGAACUGCUAAGCUAGAGGGCGAGAGAGGUUACUGGAAUUCCCAGUGUAGGAGUGAAAUCCGCAGAUAUUGGGAGGAACACCGAUGGCGUAGGCAGGUAACUGGCUCGUCCCUGACACUAAGGCACGAAAGCGUGGGGAGCAAACGGGAUUAGAUACCCCUGUAGUC